rnacentral:rRNA from 1 species
CCUACGGGAGGCAGCAGUGGGGAAUAUUGCACAAUGGGGGAAACCCUGAUGCAGCGACGCCGCGUGAAGGAAGAAGUAUCUCGGUAUGUAAACUUCUAUCAGCAGGGAAGAAAAUGACGGUACCUGACUAAGAAGCCCCGGCUAACUACGUGCCAGCAGCCGCGGUAAUACGUAGGGGGCAAGCGUUAUCCGGAUUUACUGGGUGUAAAGGGAGCGUAGACGGAUGGACAAGUCUGAUGUGAAAGGCUGGGGCUCAACCCCGGGACUGCAUUGGAAACUGCCCGUCUUGAGUGCCGGAGAGGUAAGCGGAAUUCCUAGUGUAGCGGUGAAAUGCGUAGAUAUUAGGAGGAACACCAGUGGCGAAGGCGGCUUACUGGACGGUAACUGACGUUGAGGCUCGAAAGCGUGGGGAGCAAACAGGAUUAGAUACCCCAGUAGU